rnacentral:rRNA from 1 species
UACGUAGGGUGCAAGCGUUAAUCGGAAUUACUGGGCGUAAAGCGUGCGCAGGCGGUUAUGUAAGACAGUUGUGAAAUCCCCGGGCUCAACCUGGGAACUGCAUCUGUGAUUGCAUAGCUAGAGUACGGUAGAGGGGGAUGGAAUUCCGCGUGUAGCAGUGAAAUGCGUAGAUAUGCGGAGGAACACCGAUGGCGAAGGCAAUCCCCUGGACCUGUACUGACGCUCAUGCA